rnacentral:rRNA from 1 species
GACGAACGCUGGCGGCGUGCUUAACACAUGCAAGUCGAGCGGUAAGGCCCUUUCGGGGGUACGACGAGCGGCGAACGGGUGAGUAACACGUGGGUGACCUGCCCUUAGCUCUGGGAUAAGCCUGGGAAACUGGGUCGUAAUACCGGAUAUGACUCCAUGACGCAUGUUGUGGGGUGGAAAGCCUUGUGCGGCUAGGGAUGGGCCCGCGGCCUAUCAGCUUGUUGGUGGGGUGAUGGCCUACCAAGGCGACGACGGGUA